rnacentral:rRNA from 1 species
UACAGAGGUCUCAAGCGUUGUUCGGAUUCACUGGGCGUAAAGGGUGCGUAGGUGGUCGGGUAAGUCUGGUGUGAAAUCUCGGAGCUCAACUCCGAAACUGCAUCGGAUACUAUUCGGCUAGAGGGUUGGAGGGGGGACUGGAAUUCUCGGUGUAGCAGUGAAAUGCGUAGAUAUCAGGAGGAACACCGAUGGCGAAGGCAGGUCUCUGGGCAUUAACUGACGCUGAGGAGCGAAAGCAUGGGGAGCGAACAGG